rnacentral:lncRNA from 1 species
AUAUAAAUAUCAUUCUCUAACAAUUUACAUUUUUAGAGUACAACCAGCAAGAGGUUCUGAGUUUAGCAUUACUAAUUUUUUCUUAUUUAGUUGAAGUUCACGUCAUGGGCUUUGCAAAAAAUCUUAAACCCAGACGUGAGGGAGAGUUUUAAAUAUAAAAAUAUAUAAAUAUUGUUAUCUAACAAUUUAAACUUUUAGCCCUCGUUUGGUUGGGGGUUAAGGGGUGGAAUAACCCCUUAACCCCCAUUUUAUCCCCAAACACCCCAAAAAAUAGAUGGGGUUAGCUAACCCCACCUCAAAUAAAUUAUCCCGGAUUAGCUAAACCCACCUAACCCCACCAAACUCCAACCAAACACUAUUUUCUAUUCAUAAUAACCCACUAUCUUUCUUAUCACACCUACUCCAACCAAUCAUUAUCUUUUUUUAUCAAUCAUUAUCUUCUUAUCCCACCUACUCCAACCAAACACUAUUUUUCAUUAUUCUAGACUAACUUCAACCCCCAACCAAACACAAAAAAAUUUUAACCCCACUUUAACCCUGAACUUAACCCUAUCUCUGGAAUAGCUACUUUUUCCUUAACCCCGAACCAAAUGGAGGUAGAGUAUAACGGUUGUUUCACACGAAGCAUAUAAUUUGCUGUCUCUCUCUUAAAAUAAAGAAAAUUAUAGGAAUGCUGUGUGAAAUAAGAAUUUAAGUGUCUAUCGGUACGGACCGUAUCUAUUUUGCUAUAUCGUGCCAACAAAAUAUCAACAUGAUACAGUUCUUGUGCCGAUGGCACAACUAAAAAUCCUCUAUUCUUUAAAUUCGUAAGUAUUUUUCUCAAUAAAAUUUAAAAUAUUUGAUAAAAAUAGAUAAUAAACAGUAAGUAUAUUUUGUUGCUAAAAAAAAUAAAUAUUUUAUAUUAUUAUGUGUCGGCACACAUAAAUUUUUUGUGACCAGUACAAUCCGGCACGCACCGUGUCGUACCGUAUCGGUAAAUUUCUGGCACGAUUCUGUGCCGCGAAACUUAAAUUCUUGAUACAGUGAGUAAUUUCUCCAAAGAGUUGGAAACUUUUCUUUUUCUUUGGGUUAAAAAUAAAUUAAAGAACUGGUAGAUACAGAUCCUUUCAGCCGAGAAUGUAGGAAGGUUCGGAGGAAUUCUACACUGUCACACUUGCACCACGUCAUCAAUAACAAGCCAAUCACAUUCCUUCAUUUUAAACAAAAGUACAAUAAAAAUACUUUUUUACAAUCAUGAUGGGACAUAUAUUCUUAAAAGGAUUAAUUUGAUUGGUUUGUUACGCCACGUCACUAAUAUACCCGUUGCAUU